AUGACCCACUGCCGCGUGCUGACCUACGGCAGCUUCGUCUCCAGCGUGCGCGACCAGCUCGUGCUCCACGCCGGGGCGACGCGCCACCUGGAGCUCGUCUUGCUUCCUCCACAAGAAGAGGACCCACGCAAGGCCCCAUGGUUCGGCGUCACGCUCAGAUGCGGCUCCGGGAAGUCAGUGCUGCUCCGGAUACGCGCAGACAACCUCUACAUCUCCGGUUACCGGAGCCCGGAAGGUCUAUGGUCCGAGUUCCUCGGUGGCUCCCUAAUCGACGGCGCGGCGCCACUCUCGUUCGCCGGUAGCUACGGCGAUAUGGCGAGAGUGGCCAAGACGGCACUUGAGGCACUCACCCUCGGCAAGGAGGAGCUCGAAGCCAACGCCGGCACCCAGCAGGAGAUCGUGAGAUCGCCGAUGACCAUGUCGGUGAUGGUCUGUGAGGCCGUCAGGUUCAGGAGCGUCGGCGGCGUGCUCGGCCACAUGGCGCACAUGGUGGAGCGGGUGAAGAACUGGAGGAGCCUCUCCGAGUACUGGCUCGGGGCCGUCCUCUACGCACUGUCGUUCCUGCCGUACAUAGAGGCCGACGGCAGUCAGCACUAUGGCCACAUCCCCCAGCACCUACUCGCGCCGGCGAAGAUCGACUGCCAGGACCACGCCAUGAUGGCGCUCGGCGUCGCGCUGAACCGGCAGAGGGGGCUGCAGGACAAGCACCAGGCGGCGUUCGACGAGCACUGGCGCGCCGUGCACGCCCACGCUCGCAAGCUUGACAGGGAAAGAGCAUCUGCAUCCGGUACACGAUGA
rnacentral:rRNA from 1 species